UUUUUUUUUUUUUAUUUUUUUAUAUAUAUAUAGAGGUACGCUACCGUUUAUCUGCUCAUUCACUUGCACAUUUAUUUUAUCUCUUCUCGACGGUAACACAUCUCUACCGUAUAGUACCGUUUAUAUAUAUAUAUAUAUCAACAACUAAUUAAUUUCUCAUAAAACGUUAGUUUUUUUUUUUAUCUUUAUGUACUCGUGCGGAUAAGGCCACAAUUAGUGUUUUUUUCCGCGUGUGCGUGUAGCACACUCGUUCGGCAUGCGUGUGUAGAUGCGUGUGAUUUUUCUUUCUCUUUCUUUUGUAUAUUUUAUUUUAUUAUUAUUAUUAUUAUUAUUAUUUUAACUUUUUAUUAUUUUUAUUCAAUUUGACGUGAUUGAUGCAAAAAUGCUCGCGAAUUUAUAUCGCUCAUUCGCGAAUAUAUAUAAUUGGGCUCGCGUGAAAAGUUAAAAUUAUUCUAAGAAUAGGAAGUAUAUAUAGGAAAUGUAAAAAUUUAGUUCAUAAUCUUUGGACUAUAACGUAAAUUUAAAUCUCUUAUGUCGAACUUUUUGAAUCUUUAAAAUUUUUCAUUCGUUGUCAACAACUAUGCACCCGAGCCCCAUCGUUUUAAUUAGUCGUUCGUUAUACUCGAAUUUUGCACGACUGUUACUGUACAAUAUCGCAGAGCGAUAGAAAUAGAGAUAGGGGGAGAGAGAGAGAAAAGGAGGAGAGAGAGAGAGAGAGAGAGAGAGGGGUUGAUCGGUAGGCUGUACGGGAAAUGCGAGACAGGAGCGUGGCUUCGGAGUGUUUCCGCGUGUACCCAGCAGCUUUCGAGCUUGCAAACUGACUGAAA